CCUACACACAGCUUAUGUGGGACAAGAAGCCAGGAGGUGUGGAUGAGGAUCAGCUUUCUAAGCCAAGGAUGCUACUUAGAGAAGUCAGUCUGCAGUGCAACCUGCUGGUGCCUGGGUAAAAUGAUAUCACUGUGGGGAAAAUCAGGGAUGGCUCCCUGGCUAGUGGACUGGGUGCAUGUUUGAGAUGCUGAGAUCCUGAAAGAUGGAGCCCAACACAGCUGCACAGCCUAAGGCUGCCCAUGAUAAGAGGUCAACAGUGAUCCAGUGGCUAUAUCCACUUGGACUUCCAGCAAGCUUUUGACAAAGUGCCUCACCAAAGGCUCUUGUGCAAAGUAAGCAGUCCUGGGAUAAGAGGGAAGGUUCUCCCAUGGAUCUGUAACCAGUUAAAAGAUACAAAACAAAGGGGAGAAAUAAAUGGUCAGUUUUCAGAAUGGAGAGAGGUAAGUAUCUGGUUCACCCA